AUUGAACGCUGGCGGCAGGCCUAACACAUGCAAGUCGAGCGGUAGAGAGAAGCUCGCUUCUCUUGAGAGCGGCGGACGGGUGAGUAAUGCCUAGGAAUCUGCCUGACAGUGGGGGAUAACGUCCGGAAACGGACGCUAAUACCGCAUACGUCCUACGGGAGAAAGUGGGGGCUACUCGGACCUCACGCGAUCAUAUGACGCUAGGACGGAUUAGCUGGUUGGUGAGGUAAUGGCUCACCAAGGCGACGAUCCGUAACUGGUCUGAGAGGAUGAUCAGUCACACUGGAACUGAGACACGGUCCAGACUCCUACGGGAGGCAGCAGUGGGGAAUAUUGGACAAUGGGCGAAAGCCUGAUCCAGCCAUGCCGCGUGUGUGAAGAAGGUCUUCGGAUUGUAAAGCACUUUAAGUUGGGAGGAAGUGUCGUUACCUAUACGUGGCGAUUUUGACGUUACCGACAGAAUAAGCACCGGCUAACUCUGUGCCAGCAGCCGCAGUAACAC
rnacentral:rRNA from 1 species